rnacentral:rRNA from 1 species
GUCCAUGCCGUAAACGUUGGGCACUAGGUGUGGGGACAUUCCACGUUUUCAGCGCCGUAGCUAACGCAUUAAGUGCCCCGCCUGGGGAGUACGGCCGCAAGGCUAAAACUCAAAGGAAUUGACGGGGGCCCGCACAAGCGGCGGAGCAUGCGGAUUAAUUCGAUGCAACGCGAAGAACCUUACCAAGGCUUGACAUGUGCUAGAUCGCCAUAGAAAUAUGGUUUCCCCUUUGGGGCUGGUUCACAGGUGGUGCAUGGUUGUCGU